GUUAAUAACAAUAUUAUACAUAUUUGAGAAAUAAAAUGCCUGGAUUUGACAGAUUAAGAGAUCUUUCUUGUUUUUGUGGGCGAUUGUGCAUGAUCGUUCUUAGUUGGUGGAGCGAUUUGUCUGAUUAAUUCCAAUAAUGAAUGAGACUCUAGCCUACUAAACAGACGCUUCGAUCCUUUGAGCCAGACAUUCUUCUUUGAAGGACAAGCAGCAUUUAGUUGCACGAGACAGAGCAGUAACAGGUUUGUCAUGCCGUUAAAUGUCCAAGGCUGCA
rfam:Stegodyphus mimosarum contig54116, whole genome shotgun sequence.